CACUUACCUCCUCCUGGGGGUUGGUUAAAAGCUCCGGCGGUGAAGGAUGAGCCCGCGGCCUAUCAGCUUGUUGGUGGGGUAAUGGCCUACCAAGGCGACGACGGGUAGCCGGCCUGAGAGGGCGACCGGCCACACUGGGACUGAGACACGGCCCAGACUCCUACGGGAGGCAGCAGUGGGGAAUAUUGCGCAAUGGGCGAAAGCCUGAUGCAGCGACGCCGCGUGAGGGAUGACGGCCUUCGGGUUGUAAACCUCUUUCAGCAGGGAAGAAGCGCAAGUGACGGUACCUGCAGAAGAAGCACCGGCUAACUACGUGCCAGCAGCCGCGGUAAUACGUAGGGUGCGAGCGUUGUCCGGAAUUAUUGGGCGUAAAGAGCUCGUAGGCGGUCUGUCACGUCGGAUGUGAAAGCCCGGGGCUUAACCCCGGGUCUGCAUUCGAUACGGGCAGACUAGAGUGUGGUAGGGGAGAUCGGAAUUCCUGGUGUAGCGGUGAAAUGCGCAGAUAUCAGGAGGAACACCGGUGGCGAAGGCGGAUCUCUGGGCCAUUACUGACGCUGAGGAGCGAAAGCGUGGGGAGCGAACAGGAUUAGAUACCCUGGUAGUCCACGCCGUAAACGUUGGGAACUAGGUGUUGGCGACAUUCCACGUCGUCGGUGCCGCAGCUAACGCAUUAAGUUCCCCGCCUGGGGAGUACGGCCGCAAGGCUAAAACUCAAAGGAAUUGACGGAAUCGAAUU
rnacentral:rRNA from 1 species